GACGUAGGGCGCAAGCGUUGUCCGGAUUUAUUGGGCGUAAAGAGCUCGUAGGCGGUUUGUCGCGUCGACUGUGAAAACUGGGGGCUUAACUCUCAGCUUGCAGUUGAUACGGGCAGACUUGAGUUCGGUAGGGGAGACUGGAAUUUACGGUGUAGCGGUGAAAUGCGUAGAUAUCGUAAGGAAGACCAGUGGCGAAGGCGGGUCUCUGGACAGUUCCUGACGCUGAGGCACGAAGGCCAGGGGAGCAAACGGG
rnacentral:rRNA from 1 species